GGGAGGGGAAGGUCCACUGAGGCUGCGAGGUCAAAGAUAAGCCGAGGGCAGGACCUGGGACGCUGCAGGGAGCCGGGUUGGAGGAGGAACCGGCCGCAGAGACUCCUCCCCGGGCCUGCACCUGGCACAGCUGGCUCCUCUGAACUUCUGAGGGACCUUCAGGUGGCAUGGCCGUGACUUAACGCACGUUUAGGACAGAGACGCCAGAGCUCCUGGUUGAGUCCCGGGAAAUCCGGUCGGACACAGUCGCUGCAGCCGGCGGUUUCGGUUCUUCCGCGUUCUGUCCGUGUGUCUUGCGGAGGCUCGAGGGCUCCUUGAGUUGCCUCUGGGGAGCUUCCUCAAAAUGGAGUGUUUCUGAAGUCCAGGUACAGACGCUUUCUGUGUUCUUCGGAAACACUCGGAAGGAGAAUCCUCGAUUUGGAGGCGCUCGGAGAGGCCGCGCGGGACUCAGAUAUCAGGAGAGAGAGGCUCUGAAUCGACCUGAAAGCGAUCCUGUUUUUGAUGACAAUGUGCAGACGUUGAUCUACAAUUACCACAGCUACGAUGACAGAAAAUCACAUCCUUUGGAGCCGGAGGUGGCACAGUGCAGAGUUCUGGGUUGGCAGGCCAUACCCAUGGCAGGGUCGCAGGAAAAUCCUGGAAGUGAGAAAGCCACAGAUGGGAUGAGACCCAAAAUAUGA
rnacentral:lncRNA from 1 species